rnacentral:rRNA from 1 species
CAAUAGCGUAUAUUAAAGUUGUUGCAGUUAAAAAGCUCGUAGUUGGACCUUGGACCUGGACAGGCGGUCCGCCUCACGGCGAGUACUGUCUUGCUGGGUCUUUCCUCUUGGUGAUCUGUUGUUUCGGCAGCAGGGAACCAGGACCUUUACUUUGGAAAAAUUAGAGUGUUCAAAGCAGGCUCGACGCCGGAAUAUAUUAGCAUGGAAUAAUAAAAUAGGACGUGCGGUUCUAUUUUGUUGGUUUUUGGAAUCGCCGUAAUGAUUAAUAGGGACAGUCGGGGGCAUUAGUACUCACAUGCUAGAGGUGAAAUUCUUGGAUUUUGUGAAGACUAACUUCUGCGAAAGCAUUUGCCAAGGAUGUUUUCAUUAA